rnacentral:rRNA from 1 species
GAUGAACGCUGGCGGCAUGCUUAACACAUGCCAGUCGAACGGGAAGUGGUGUUUCCAGUGGCGAACGGGUGAGUAACGCGUAAGAACCUGCCCUUGGGAGGGGAACAACAACUGGAAACGGUUGCUAAUACCCCGUAGGCUGAGGAGCAAAAGGAGAAAUCCGCCCAAGGAGGGGCUCGCGUCUGAUUAGCUAGUUGGUGAGGUAAUAGCUUACCAAGGCGAUGAUCAGUAGCUGGUCCGAGAGGAUGAUCAGCCACACUGGGACUGAGACACGGCCCAGACUCCUACGGGAGGCAGCAGUGGGGAAUUUUCCGCAAUGGGCGAAAGCCUGACGGAGCAAUGCCGCGUGGAGGUGGAAGGCCUACGGGUCGUCAACUUCUUUUCUCGGAGAAGAAACAAUGACGGUAUCUGAGGAAUAAGCAUCGGCUAACUCUG